rnacentral:tRNA from 1 species
GCACUCAUAGCUCAAUUGGAUAGAGCAUUGGACUUCGAAUCCAAGGGUUGCAGGUUCGAGUCCUGCUGGGUGCG